ACCCAGUAAACAGUGUCUAACCUAUAGGCUUCAAGUUAGUCUUCUGGUGACAAUUACAGGUAAUGGAACCACACCUUCUGCUUCAGGGACGUGCUCCCCUCCCAGGUGGACACUCGGCUCCCCCACAGCCUGCUCCAUCUUGAUCAGAGAGAGUAGUUGCAUCAAAUUCUUUCAUGUUCUAUUAGAGGCAAAGCUCACUGGAUUAAGAAAGGUAACUGCUUGAACCUCCCAUCUAUUGCUGGAGCUUAGAGAGCGGCACGCAUGGACCUCUUGAGACCAAGAGGCCCAGCCACAGAUGAUAAUGGUCCAGGUGAGACCAGAAAGGGCAGCAAGUGAGGUGGCUAAUGGAC
rnacentral:lncRNA from 1 species